UUUCCGUAGGUGAACCUGCGGAAGGAUCAUUAUAGAUUGGCCGAAAGGCCGUGUCUUCAUCCACACACACCGUGAACAAACCAAGGUCCAGUCAAGAACUCUCUCGCUCUUCCUCUCACGAGGUCGUCCGCCCUCACGGGUGGCAUGGUGAAAACCCUGUCAGAAGCGGUUUGCUUGGCCGGACCCCAACCACAAACAAAAUGUAAAGAAUGUAAAAUAUCGUAACAAAACAAAACUUUCAACAACGGAUCUCUUGGCUCUC
rnacentral:misc_RNA from 1 species